CUGCUAAAUAGUUUCUACUUCUCUUUUGAGUAGAAAUUUCUUCUUAGAGGGACUGGUGACUCUUAGUCACACGAGAUUGAGCAAUAACAGGUCUGUGAUGCCCUUAGAUGUUCUGGGCCGCACACGCGCUACACUGAAUAGAUCAGCGUGUCACCCUUCCCGAAAGGGACGGGUAAACGCUUGAACCCUAUUCGUGGUAGGGAUCGGGGCUUGCAAUUGUUCCCCGUGAACCAGGAAUUCCCAGUAGGCGCAAGUCAUAAGCUUGCGUCGAUUACGUCCCUGCCCUUUGUACACACCGCCCGUCGCUACUACCGAUUGAACAUUUUAGUGAGGUCCUCGGACUGUGAGCCAGGCGGGUCGCCCUGCCUGGUCUACGGGAAGACGACCAAACUGUAGUGUUUAGAGGAAGUAAAAGUCGUAACAAGGUAUCCGUAGGUGA
rnacentral:rRNA from 1 species